rnacentral:rRNA from 1 species
UACGUAGGGUGCGAGCGUUGUCCGGAUUUAUUGGGCGUAAAGAGCUCGUAGGUGGUCUGUUGCGUCGGUUGUGAAAACCCGGGGCUUAACUCCGGGCCUGCAGUCGAUACGGGCAGACUAGAGUUCGGCAGGGGAGACUGGAAUUCCUGGUGUAGCGGUGAAAUGCGCAGACAUCAGGAGGAACACCGGUGGCGAAGGCGGGUCUCUGGGCCGAUACUGACACUGAGGAGCGAAAGCGUGGGGAGCGAACAGG